UACAGAUUAUUUGAAUGGCUUUUUUAACUCAUUGAAUUUGGACCAAAAAUAUUUUGACCCUGUGUGAUCCACAGCAUCUCUCUGCUAACAAAUGCUAUGGAGCAGGUCCUUUUCUCUCACGGAAGAGGGUUUAUCCACAUCUUUGAUAGAUGAGCCAUUAACACCAGUGAAGCAGCUGAGAAUUCCCUUAGUGCAGUUAAGAGGUUUUAUUCUUCAUACCCGAGACUAAGAAUAAUUGUCCAGAGCAAGAAAACUGUCAGCAAAGACAUUUUGUUUAUUAUUAUAUUUUUAACUUAAACUCUCAUGAUCUGGAGUGCCCUAAGUGAAUUGAAAACUAUGGAGAUCAGAGCAAAUAAUGCUCCAUUACACAGCUCCCUGAAUCCCUGCAGCCUCCCCUGGCAGAGUUAUCUGCUUUGGAGCACCAUAAUUCCUCCAUUUGGGCAAUCUGAGCCUCAUCCACAUCAGAAAUUUCAAUGCCAUCUUGCCCCCAUCAUGUUUUUCAGAUCCAUAACCUCAGCAUGACGCUCAGAAAGGCAGUGGUGCCACAAAGUGACUCUGGUACAGAAAUGCAGUUACAGAAAGGCCAUUAAACAUCAGUUGUACUCUCCUUUUUUGUCAGGAAAAGUCAACUUCCUAAUUCCAGAGUGUUCUGCCAGUUGCAUGCAGGAACUGCAGAUCCUCUCCUCAUUCUCACCCCUUGCUCCCUCUUUGCAGUGAUAAAGCAGUUUUUUGAAUGGUUUCAGGGUUUAUUCCACGCUUUAAUGUGGAGUUUCAAAUCAUCUAACAGAUGGCAUUGUCAUCAUUUUUCCUUCCCCACAGAAUGAAAAUGAACAAACACUUGACAUUUCCAAUAUGUCUUCAUCUAAUGCAAGAAUUUUUAGAAGCCGUGGAAUAGUGAUAAUCUGCUUUGCCUUAGAUGGCCAGAAUUGUUAAAUGUGCCCUAAAAAUCCUACAUUUCCCACAUGACUGUGUGGAAAAUGGGGAUAUAACCACACAAUCAUCAUGGUCCUGUCCUGUACCAUGAGCUCUGAACAGGGCAGAGCAGAACAUGGCAUGCCAGAGCAGCUGUGCAAUGAGAGGGGAAGGUUCAUUAGAGAAAUGAGCUCGAGCUGCUCCAGCACUUAGAAAUCAGCUCACAUUUACAAACCCACAGCAGAUGCAUGGUUUGGCAAAAGAGUUCUGCAGUCAGUAAUUUGCCAUUCAUCAGGGAUUGCCUCUUAAAUCUGGGAUCCAAGCUAGGGUGCAGAUGACAUAGGAGGAUAAAUUUAGACAGGGCUGAAAACAAUUAUUUUGAUUAAACCUCCAGCCAAUGAGAGUGACAGCCUUGCUAUUCCUCCCCUUGCCCCUCACUCACCCCUCUGUGGUGAAGGAGGAGAUUUUGUGAAUUUAACCUCUCUUCCUUUUCCAAACAGGGGAUGUUUGGGUGGAGCUUUUGCUGCUAUCCAGUGGAGUAGGGAGGGUAUUUGGAUGGAACAUGCUUCCAUGUUAGUGUUGGAAAAGGUGCUGGGAGGGAACUAUUGAAGUUUUAUUUACCUCAAAAGGAGAGACUGUAUCUACUAAAGUAAAAAGAUGUUUUUUUCGUGGCCUAUCCUGCCACUGGGGCUGCUCCUCAAACUGAAUGGGUUGAUUCUGCUGGGAAAUCUUUGUGAAGUUGUUGCUUGGCUCCUGAACUUGGUCAUUCCAGCCUCUCACAGCUUUGGCAUUAAUGUUUUCCAGUCUUUGAAACUCUUGGUUCAAUCUGACAUGGAUGUGUAGGAAGAGUAAUGCUAACUAUUCUUCUAAAAAACAUCAACAAAAGCAUCAAUUAACCACUCUGAGCUAUUUUAUUAGAAAUAAAAUGAUCUUAAUCUUGGCUGGCAAUCUUGUGCCCACCAGGCCUUGGCUUGCUGUUAUCACAAACAGCUCUGGUUUAAAAUAAUAAUAAUAUGGAGGUAAAAUGCCCCUUUUUAAAAUGAGUUUUUAAUGAAUAGUACCUUCCUUUGGGAUUAUCAUGGAUAUUUCACUGUGGUUGCUGCUCCUCCUUGCACUGGUGUUAUGUGAGAGUGGAAUAAAAAUGGCCAGAUCUGGGGAUGGAGGGGGUUGGGAAAUUGAGCUGAAGGGCUGGAACUUGUAAUGGCAUAAACUAUAAUUGCGAAAUAAAAUAGCAAGAAUUUGGGAAUAGGACAUUUUAUCUUAUUUACUCUUUGGUAAUUGUUGGCACUUGACUGCAAUCAGCUGCAAGCCUAUCUCUGAGUGACAGCACAAUUCCAGCCAGAGCAACCAGAAAUAGCCCAGCAUUUGAGUAAUUUUAGGCUUUUUAUAACCAAAUACUUCACAAAUAAAAGCCAGUGUAACAUGGACAGACUGAACUCUCCUCUGCAGGGUAAACUGGGCAGUGCUGUGGGAGGCCAUGCCCAGAAACACCAUUUGUAUCUUUCUUCAGCUAUUCUUGCCCAGAAUUAAACUGGAUUAGCUCAUUUUUGUUCAUUAAUUGUAACAUAUCAGAAGUUAUUCAAGUUCUACACUUAGAUUCUUGUUGGGGUGAGGAGGCAGGCAGAGGGAGGAGAGGGAAGGUCCAACCUUCACCAAAACUUCAGUCAGAAAGAACCUUAAUGAGUAAGCUUAGCUGAUUUUGGUCAGAAAACCCAGUGGGCCAAGGAAGCUUGGAAGAGUUGGAGAUUUCCUGCUGAAACAUUACCUACAGUUCCUGUUUAUGUCAUUAGCUCUUAAACUGAUGCCCACACCUUGCUGAGGGAGGAGGGGAGAAUCCUUUCUCCAGCACAGGAUAGAGGGGAAGGUCACUUUUCCCUCAUGGUCCCAGAAUUUCUCUCAAGGUCUCUUCCUCAGGGGAUUUCAAAGCCCUGAGGAAUUCUGUUGGCACCCCAGGAUUCCAGUACCAUGAAUGAAUACAAAUCUGCAGCAUCACAGUUCUCUUAAAGGAGAGGGAAUUUGCAUCCUAAAUAACCAACUAUCAAUGCUGAAGUAAAGAAAGGAGGCAGUGUGUGACUAAAUGAGGACCCAGGUGACAGCUGUCCAAGAAAACCUG